rnacentral:rRNA from 1 species
UGGGGGAUAUUGCACAAUGGAGGGAACUCUGAUGCAGCGACGCCGCGUGAGUGAAGAAGUAUUUCGGUAUGUAAAGCUCUAUCAGCAGGGAAGAAAGGCUCCGCAAGGAGAGAUGACGGUACCUGAGUAAGAAGCCCCGGCUAACUACGUGCCAGCAGCCGCGGUAAUACGUAGGGGGCAAGCGUUAUCCGGAUUUACUGGGUGUAAAGGGAGCGUAGACGGAGAGGCAAGUCUGAAGUGAAAGCCCGGGGCUCAACCGCGGGACUGCUUUGGAAACUGUCUGUCUGGAGUACUGGAGGGGUAAGCGGAAUUCCUAGUGUAGCGGUGAAAUGCGUAGAUAUUAGGAGGAACACCGGCGGCGAAGGCGGCUUACUGGACAGCAACUGACGUUGAGGCUCGAAAGCGUGGGUAGCAAACAGG